GAGCUUGCUUCUCAGCACAUAGACUGAAAUUGGAAUGAUACACAGAAGAUUAGUAUGGCUCCUGUGCAAGGCUGACAUGCAAAUUCAUAAAGCAUUUCAUAUUUUA